UCCCUGGUGGUCUAGUGGUUAGGAUUUGGCACUUUCAUCGCUAUGGACCAGGUUCAAUCCCUGGUCUGGGAA
rnacentral:tRNA from 1 species